GCAACCUGCUCAUAAACCUCCAUAGGAGAAAUCUCCUGCUAGUGCUGCUCCUUUCAGGCAGAAAUCAGGAGAACAUCAGGAGUGGGGUCUCCUCAGAGCCUCACACCACAGAGCUAAGCAGAGUGUGAGGUGAAUUCCCCAUUGAGGGAGCUGUGGCACUGGAGACGAGUAGUUUCAAAUUGUCUUCAGUUACCUAGAAACCCGUGUAAGGAGGUGUAAAUGUUCUGGGUUAAAGCAAGGCAAGGUGUGCGGGCAGAAAUCACAGAGCUCUUGCUGGGUCAGCAGCUGAUGUUGCAGAUGAGCUGUGAAGAAAGCAGACAGGCUUUUGGGCACAGCAGGGCACCAAAGGCAUCCCAGGGUGGCUCCUGAUUCACAGUGCCCCCACAUCACUGGGUGCUGGCCUUGGGGACUCCUGCCUAAUUCUCCUCUUGGAUGGAGACCCAACCUGCUGCAGGGCCACUCGUGUGUGAGCCAGCCCUCCGUGUGCCCCAGUUUGCCUUUUGUAAAAC
rnacentral:lncRNA from 1 species